AUUCUUACCUGGCAGGGGAGAUACCAUGAUCAUGAAGGUGGUUUUUCCAGGGCAAGGCUUAUCCAUUGCACUCCGGAUGUGCUGACCCCUGGGAUUUCCCCAAAUGUGGGAAACUCGACUGCGUUC
rnacentral:snRNA from 1 species